UACGUAGGGUGCAAGCGUUAAUCGGAAUUACUGGGCGUAAAGCGUGCGCAGGCAGUCCGCUAAGACAGAUGUGAAAUCCCCGGGCUUAACCUGGGAACUGCAUUUGUGACUGGCGGGCUAGAGUAUGGCAGAGGGGGGUAGAAUUCCACGUGUAGCAGUGAAAUGCGUAGAGAUGUGGAGGAAUACCGAUGGCGAAGGCAGCCCCCUGGGCCAAUACUGACGCUCAUGCACGAAAGCGUGGGGAGCAAACAGG
rnacentral:rRNA from 1 species